rnacentral:rRNA from 1 species
GCAUGGUGGGGGGUGGAAAGGGUUUGACUGGUUUUGGAUGGGCUCACGGCCUAUCAGCUUGUUGGUGGGGUAAUGGCUCACCAAGGCGACGACGGGUAGCCGGCCUGAGAGGGUGACCGGCCACACUGGGACUGAGACACGGCCCAGACUCCUACGGGAGGCAGCAGUGGGGAAUAUUGCACAAUGGGCGGAAGCCUGAUGCAGCGACGCCGCGUGAGGGAUGACGGCCUUCGGGUUGUAAACCUCUUUCAGCAGGGAAGAAGCCACAAGUGACGGUACCUGCAGAAGAAGCGCCGGCUAACUACGUGCCAGCAGCCGCGGUAAUACGUAGGGCGCAAGCGUUGUCCGGAAUUAUUGGGCGUAAAGAGCUCGUAGGCGGUUUGUCGCGUCUGCUGUGAAAGCCCGGGGCUCAACCCCGGGUCUGCAGUGGGUACGGGCAGACUAGAGUGCAGUAGGGGAGACUGGAAUUCCUGGUGUAGCGGUGAAAUGCGCAGAUAUCAGGAGGAACACCGAUGGCGAAGGCAGGUCUCUGGGCUGUUACUGACGCUGAGGAGCGAAAGCAUGGGGAGCGAACAGGAUUAGAUACCCUGGUAGUCCAUGCCGUAAACGUUGGGCACUAGGUGUGGGGGACAUUCCACGUUCUCCGCGCCGUAGCUAACGCAUUAAGUGCCCCGCCUGGGG